UUGAUAGAACCAGAAAUAUAUAACCAGCGACCAAAUUCACUCUAACCUCGAUAACUUUACAUCAAAACUCUGCUUAGUAGCUCAAUACCGGUGAGACAUAAAAAGAAAGACAAACAUAGAAUUACAGAGAAAAUACCACAUCUAAUAUUUCCGCUUCCUUAUCUUGAAGGUGGAUGAUCGGAUAACAUCGUCGUCGGCCUUUAGA
rnacentral:misc_RNA from 1 species